rnacentral:rRNA from 1 species
AGUGAACGCUGGCGGUAGGCCUAACACAUGCAAGUCGAACGGCAGCACAGUAAGAGCUUGCUCUUACGGGUGGCGAGUGGCGGACGGGUGAGGAAUACAUCGGAAUCUACUUUUUCGUGGGGGAUAACGUAGGGAAACUUACGCUAAUACCGCAUACGACCUACGGGUGAAAGCAGGGGAUCUUCGGACCUUGCGCGAUUGAAUGAGCCGAUGUCGGAUUAGCUAGUUGGCGGGGUAAAGGCCCACCAAGGCGACGAUCCGUAGCUGGUCUGAGAGGAUGAUCAGCCACACUGGAACUGAGACACGGUCCAGACUCCUACGGGAGGCAGCAGUGGGGAAUAUUGGACAAUGGGCGCAAGCCUUAUCCAGCCACACCGCGUGGGUGAAGAAGGCCUUCGGGUUGUAAAGCCCUUUUGUUGGGAAAGAAAAGCAGCAGGUUAAUACCCCGCUGUUCUGACGGUACCCAAAGAAUAAGCACCGGCUAACUUCGUG